CUGGAGUGUAAUGAAGACCCAUGGUACCCAGGAUCUUUGGGGCCCACAUGAACUCUGGCCUAUGGCUGUGCCAGCCAGCACCCAUGUGUGGACACCGGAUGUACAACCCCUUGAAAGAGUGUUGUGACUAUGGCACCGUCCUGCUCCUGAACCGGACCCGCCUCUGUGGUCCUGACUGCACUUUCUGGCCCUGCCUUGAGCUCUGCUGUCCCGAGUCAUUUGGGCCCCAGAGGAGGUUUGUUGUGAGACUGAAAGUUCAAGGCCCGAAGUCCCGGUGCCGUUCCUCUCCCAUCUCCAGGGUCUGUGCCAGACACACAUACUCUGAAGAAUUCACCUGAGUGUGAGUAUAAUACCACUGCAGACGCUCUGGAAAAAACGGCUGCUGCUGCCACCUCUGAAGACUAUUCCCUUGCCCUGUGGAUACACCAUCAAGCAGGACAUUUAGGAACACAAGCUAUGCACAGGGCUUCUCUUUGGACAGUAGAUGAUAUGAAUGGUCAAAGCCUGGAUACCUGAAACUCUUCUUGCCAUUCCUACACCACCACACCUGAGACUCUUUUGGACUAACAUUAGUCAUCAUCAAUG